GUGGAUUAGAUACCCUGGUAGUCCACACUGUAAACGAUGGAUACUAGGUGUAGGGGGUAUUAAGCCUUCUGUGCCGUCGCAAACGCAGUAAGUAUCCCACCUGGGGAGUACGACCGCAAGGUUGAAACUCAAAGGAAUUGACGGGGGCCCGCACAAGCAGUGGAGUAUGUGGUUUAAUUUGAAGCAACGCGAAGAACCUUACCAGGGCUUGACAUAUACAGGAAUAAGUAAGAGAUUACUUAGCUCUUCGGAGUCUGUAUACAGGUGGUGCACGGUUGUCGACAGCU
rnacentral:rRNA from 1 species